AUUGGGGAUCCUACGGGAGGCAGCAGUGGGGAAUCUUGGCCAAUGGGCGCAAGCAUGAUCCAGCCAUGCCGCGUGAGUGAUGAAGCCCUUAGGGUUGUAAAGCUCUUUCAUACGAGAAGAUAAUGACGGUACUCGCAG
rnacentral:rRNA from 3 species